AGAGUUUGAUCCUGGCUCAGGAUGAACGCUAGCUACAGGCUUAACACAUGCAAGUCGAGGGGCAGCAUCGCGAUAGCUUGCUAUUGCGGAUGGCGACCGGCGCACGGGUGAGUAACGCGUAUCCAACCUUCCCGCAACUGGGGAAUAACCUUGCGAAAGUAAGACUAAUACCCCAUGGCCUCCAUAGAAGACAUCUGAAAUGGAGUAAAGGUUUCGGCCGGUUGCGGAUGGGGAUGCGUCCGAUUAGCUUGACGGCGGGGUAACGGCCCACCGUGGCAUCGAUCGGUAGGGGUUCUGAGAGGAAGGUCCCCCACAUUGGAACUGAGACACGGUCCAAACUCCUACGGGAGGCAGCAGUGAGGAAUAUUGGUCAAUGGGCGGAAGCCUGAACCAGCCAAGUAGCGUGAAGGACGACUGCCCUAUGGGUUGUAAACUUCUUUUAUGCGGGGAUAAAGUUCGCCACGUGUGGCGUUUUGCAGGUACCGCAUGAAUAAGGACCGGCUAAUUCCGUGCCAGCAGCCGCGGUAAUACGGAAGGUCCAGGCGUUAUCCGGAUUCAUUGGGUUUAAAGGGAGCGUAGGCCGCCUUUUAAGCGUGUUGUGAAAUGUAGGGGCUCAACCCCUGCACUGCAGCGCGAACUGGAGGGCUUGAGUACACACAAAGUAGGCGGAAUUCAUGGUGUAGCGGUGAAAUGCUUAGAUAUCAUGAAGAACCCCGAUUGCGAAGGCAGCUUACUGGAGUGUAACUGACGCUGAAGCUCGAAAGCGCGGGUAUCGAACAGGAUUAGAUACCCUGGUAGUCCGCGCGGUAAACGAUGGAUGCCCGCUGUUUGCCACUUUGGUAAGCGGCCAAGCGAAAGCGUUAAGCAUCCCACCUGGGGAGUACGCCGGCAACGGUGAAACUCAAAGGAAUUGACGGGGGCCCGCACAAGCGGAGGAACAUGUGGUUUAA
rnacentral:rRNA from 1 species